AUCGCUUCUCAGCCUUGAGGCUUAAGAUCAAGUGUAGUAUCUGUCCUUCCCCCUAACCCUCACCACAUAACAUUCAUGUACCAUCUUUAAAAUGUAAGAAUCUUUUUUUUUAAAGAUUUUAUUUAUUUAUUCAUGAGAGACACAGAGAGGCAGAGACAUA
rnacentral:snRNA from 2 species